AAACACCUGGACAAAUAAAAUCAAUAGAAACAAUAGGACAUAAAGGGUUAAUUAAUUUUUCUUUUGGAAUCACCAUGGUUUGAGGCGGUACAACCAAGGCUCCAAUUGUAACCUCAAGUUAUUCUCUUCCCAAUUCUUUAUGAAUAUUUGAUGACUUUUCCUCAACCUUUUGCAAGAACAUCAACUUCCUUCCUAUGGAUUCUUCAGAAUCAAAAUCAUCAUCCUCAUCCUCAACUUCUUCAGGUUCACAACAAAUUUCCCUUUGUUUUUCAAUAAAAUUCACAGUUUUCUUCCUUGGACAUUCGUUUGACCUAUGCCCCUCUUCAUUGCA
rnacentral:misc_RNA from 1 species